GAUAUAAUCUAGAUAUUAUACAGGUACAUAGAACAGGUUAUUAAAGAUAUAAUCUAGAUAUUAUACAGGUACAUAGAACAGGUUAUUAAGAUAUAAUCUAGAUAUUAUACAGGUACAUAGAACAGGUUAUUAAGAUAUAAUCUAGAUAUUAUACAGGUACAUAGAACAGGUUAUUAAGAUAUAAUCUAGAUAUUAUACAGGUACAUAGAACAGGUUAUUAAGAUAUAAUCUAGAUAUUAUACAGGUACAUAGAACAGGUUAUUAAGAUAUAAUCUAGAUAUUAUACAGGUACAUAGAACAGGUUAUUAAGAUAUAAUCUAGAUAUUAUACAGGUACAUAGAACAGGUUAUUAAGAUAUAAUCUAGAUAUUAUACAGGUACAUAGAACAGGUUAUUAAAGAUAUAAUCUAGAUAUUAUACAGGUACAGGUUAUUAAGAUAUAAUCUAGAUAUUAUACAGGUACAUAGAACAGGUUAUUAAAGAUAUAAUCUAGAUAUUAUACAGGUACAGGUUAUUAAGAUAUAAUCUAGAUAUUAUACAGGUACAUAGAACAGGUUAUUAAGAUAUAAUCUAGAUAUUAUACAGGUACAUAGAACAGGUUAUUAAAGAUAUAAUCUAGAUAUUAUACAGGUACAGGUUAUUAAGAUAUAAUCUAGAUAUUAUACAGGUACAUAGAACAGGUUAUUAAAG